UACGGGGGGGGCAAGCGUUGUUCGGAAUUACUGGGCGUAAAGGGUCUGUAGGUGGCUUGCUAAGUCAGACGUGAAAUCCCUCAGCUUAACUGGGGAACUGCGUCUGAGACUGGCGAGCUUGAGGGCAGGAGGGGAACGCGGAAUUCCAGGUGUAGCGGUGAAAUGCGUAGAGAUCGGGAGGAACACCAGAGGCGAAAGCGGCGGCCUGGACAGGUACUGACACUCAACUACGAAAGCGUGGGGAGCAAACAGG
rnacentral:rRNA from 1 species